rnacentral:rRNA from 1 species
UAGGGAAUCUUCCGCAAUGGGCGAAAGCCUGACGGAGCAAUGCCGCGUGAGUGAAGAAGGCCUUCGGGUCGUAAAACUCUGUUAUAAGAGAAGAACAAAUUGUAGAGUAACUGCUACAGUCUUGACGGUAUCUUAUCAGAAAGCCACGGCUAACUACGUGCCAGCAGCCGCGGUAAUACGUAGGUGGCAAGCGUUGUCCGGAUUUAUUGGGCGUAAAGGGAGCGCAGGUGGUUUCUUAAGUCUGAUGUGAAAGCCCACGGCUUAACCGUGGAGGGUCAUUGGAAACUGGGAAACUUGAGUACAGAAGAGGAAUGUGGAACUCCAUGUGUAGCGGUGGAAUGCGUAGAUAUAUGGAAGAACACCAGUGGCGAAGGCGACAUUCUGGUCUGUUACUGACACU